CGAUGAAGCCGGGGCUUGCUCUGGUGGAUUAGUGGCGAACGGGUGAGUAACACGUGAGCAACCUGCCCUGGACUCUGGGAUAAGCGCUGGAAACGGCGUCUAAUACUGGAUACGAGACGUGGCCGCAUGGUCAACGUUUGGAAAGAUUUUUCGGUCUGGGAUGGGCUCGCGGCCUAUCAGCUUGUUGGUGAGGUAAUGGCUCACCAAGGCGUCGACGGGUAGCCGGCCUGAGAGGGUGACCGGCCACACUGGGACUGAGACACGGCCCAGACUCCUACGGGAGGCAGCAGUGGGGAAUAUUGCACAAUGGGCGGAAGCCUGAUGCAGCAACGCCGCGUGAGGGAUGACGGCCUUCGGGUUGUAAACCUCUUUUAGCAGGGAAGAAGCGAAAGUGACGGUACCUGCAGAAAAAGCGCCGGCUAACUACGUGCCAGCAGCCGCGGUAAUACGUAGGGCGCAAGCGUUAUCCGGAAUUAUUGGGCGUAAAGAGCUCGUAGGCGGUUUGUCGCGUCUGCUGUGAAAUCCCGAGGCUCAACCUCGGGCCUGCAGUGGGUACGGGCAGACUAGAGUGCGGUAGGGGAGAUUGGAAUUCCUGGUGUAGCGGUGGAAUGCGCAGAUAUCAGGAGGAACACCGAUGGCGAAGGCAGAUCUCUGGGCCGUAACUGACGCUGAGGAGCGAAAGGGUGGGGAGCAAACAGGCUUAGAUACCCUGGUAGUCCACCCCGUAAACGUUGGGAACUAGUUGUGGGGUCCUUUCCACGGAUUCCGUGACGCAGCUAACGCAUUAAGUUCCCCGCC
rnacentral:rRNA from 1 species